CGUUAGAUGAUGAUACGUUAGUUUCGUAGUAAUGUUGAGAACUAUCUAAAUGUUGGUCAUUAAUGUUAAAAACCUGUUCUACAUUUCUAAUCUAAUUUUACGUGUCAACAUUUAAGAGGACGACGUCCCGGCCACAGAUAUUCCUCUCUCUUAUGUUUAUAUUGGAGUCACUAUAUUCAUCAUAGUAAUUUGCAUCAUCCUGGGAUUUAUCAACAGGAAAACUUGCCUCGGAGAAGAAAUUGAACACAUGACCACAGCACUGUACACGGAAGUGGAAUACACCGAGUGAGACGGGGCUUAAAGUUUUAUAUAUGUUUCAUUUCUUCUGUCUUACUGACAAACCUACUGUCUUGAACAACACAUAAAAUAAUAAAAGAAAUUGUUAAACAAA